rnacentral:rRNA from 1 species
UGCGGAUGGAUCCCCUCCUUUCU